rnacentral:rRNA from 1 species
CAUCGGAACGUACCUUUCAGUGGGGGAUAACGUAGCGAAAGUUACGCUAAUACCGCAUAUUCUGUGAGCAGGAAAGCAGGGGAUCGCAAGACCUUGCGCUGAUGGAGCGGCCGAUGUCAGAUUAGCUAGUUGGUGGGGUAAAGGCUCACCAAGGCGACGAUCUGUAGCGGGUCUUAGAGGAUGAUCCGCCACACUGGAACUGAGACACGGUCCAGACUCCUACGGGAGGCAGCAGUGGGGAAUUUUGGACAAUGGGCGCAAGCCUGAUCCAGCCAUGCCGCGUGAGUGAAGAAGGCCUUCGGGUUGUAAAGCUCUUUCGGCCGGGAAAAAAUCGCUUGGGUUAAUACCCUGAGUGGAUGAUGGUACCGGAAUAAGAAGCACCGGCUAACUACGCGCCAGCAGCCGCGGUAAUACGUAGGGUGCGAGCGUUAAUCGGAAUUACUGGGCGUAAAGCGUGCGCAGGCGGUUUUGUAAGACAGGCGUGAAAUCCCCGGGCUCAACCUGGGAACUGCGUUUGUGACUGCAAGGCUAGAGUAUGGCAGAGGGGGGUGGAAUUCCACGUGUAGCAGUGAAACGCGUAGAGAUGUGGAGGAACACCAAUGGCGAAGGCAGCCCCCUGGGCCAAUACUGACGCUCAUGCACGAAAGCGUGGGGAGCAAACAGGAUUAGAUACCCUGGUAGUCCACGCCCUAAACGAUGUCAACUAGGUGUUGGGUGGGUAAAACCAUUUGGUACCGUAGCUAACGCGUGAAGUUGACCGCCUGGGGAGUACGGCCGCAAGGUUAAAACUCAAAGGAAUUGACGGGGACCCGCACAAGCGGUGGAUGAUGUGGAUUAAUUCGAUGCAACGCGAAAAACCUUACCUACCCUUGACAUGCCAGGAACUUGCCAGAGAUGGCUUGGUGCCCGAAAGGGAGCCUGGACACAGGUGCUGCAUGGCUGUCGUCAGCUCGUGUCGUGAGAUGUUGGGUUAAGUCCCGCAACGAGCGCAACCCUUGUCGUUAAUUGCCAUCAUUUAGUUGGGCACUUUAACGAGACUGCCGGUGACAAACCGGAGGAAGGUGGGGAUGACGUCAAGUCCUCAUGGCCCUUAUGGGUAGGGCUUCACACGUCAUACAAUGGUCGGUACAAAGGGUUGCCAAGCCGCGAGGCGGAGCCAAUCCCAGAAAGCCGAUCGUAGUCCGGAUCGCAGGCUGCAACUCGCCUGCGUGAAGUCGGAAUCGCUAGUAAUCGUGGAUCAGCAUGUCACGGUGAAUACGUUCCCGGGUCUUGUACACACCGCCCGUCACACCAUGGGAGCGGGUUCCGCCAGAAGUAGGUAGCCUAACCGCAAGGAGGGCGCUUACCACGGCGGGGUUCGUGACUG